rnacentral:rRNA from 1 species
CCUACGGGAGGCAGCAGUGAGGAAUAUUGGUCAAUGGACGCAACUCUGAACCAGCCAAGUAGCGUGAGGGAAGACGGCCCUAUGGGUUGUAAACCUCUUUUAUGCGGGGAUAAAGUGGUCCACGUGUGGAUGUUUGCAGGUACCGCAUGAAUAAGGACCGGCUAAUUCCGUGCCAGCAGCCGCGGUAAUACGGAAGGUCCGGGCGUUAUCCGGAUUUAUUGGGUUUAAAGGGAGCGUAGGCCGGUCCUUAAGCGUGUCGUGAAAUUUUGUGGCUCAACCAUGGGAGUGCGGCGCGCACUGGGGACCUUGAGUGCGCGGAAGGCAGGCGGAAUUCGUGGUGUAGCGGUGAAAUGCUUAGAUAUCACGAAGAACCCCGAUUGCGAAGGCAGCCUGCCGUAGCGUUACUGACGCUGAAGCUCGAAAGCGCGGGUAUCGAACAGGAUUAGAUACCCUAGUAGUC